GCGAAAUGCGAUACUUGGUGUGA
rnacentral:siRNA from 1 species